rnacentral:misc_RNA from 1 species
GGACUUUCAGGCUGGUCGUCAGGCAUUCAAAGGUUUUGUGUGCGAGUUUCUCUUUCUCCAUCUCUACCACUUUCUUUCCAUUUUCUUGUUUUGUGUGUUAUGUGUGAUGGAUGGGUAAAUUUUUUGUUUCCCUUUUCUUGCUCUGGCCCUUCUUUUUCCUCUCUUCUUUUGCGUGACGGAAUUUCACUUUGACAUUAGGGAAAGAAAGAAAAAGUCUUUCCUGAGAGGGCAAGCGUUGUUUCAGAUCCUUUUUUUGUUGUGG